rnacentral:rRNA from 1 species
UACGAAGGGGGCUAGCGUUGCUCGGAAUCACUGGGCGUAAAGGGUGCGUAGGCGGGUCUUUAAGUCAGGGGGUGAAAUCCUGGAGCUCAACUCCAGAACUGCCUUUGAUACUGAAGAUCUUGAGUUCGGGAGAGGUGAGUGGAACUGCGAGUGUAGAGGUGAAAUUCGUAGAUAUUCGCAAGAACACCAGUGGCGAAGGCGGCUCACUGGCCCGAUACUGACGCUGAUGCACGAAAGCGUGGGGAGCAAACAGG